rnacentral:rRNA from 1 species
UACAGAGGGUGCAAACGUUGCUCGGAAUUAUUGGGCGUAAAGCGCGUGUAGGCGGCUUGUUAAGUCGGUUGUGAAAACCCAUGGCUCAACCAUGGAAGGGCGUCCGAAACUGGCAAGCUAGAGUCCCGACGAGGAUGGCGGAAUUCCCAGUGUAGAGGUGAAAUUCGUAGAUAUCAGGAGGAACACCAAUGGCGAAGGCAGCUCGCUGGGACGUGACUGACGCUGAGACGCGAAAGCGUGGGGAGCAAACAGG